CUUCAGGAGCACAGUUUUGCGAAGCGGACCCGAGUGCGGUCAUUGGCAAGGAUAGCAGUGGCAGCGUGUGCCUGGUGUGGAGCCCUGGGGGGUGUGUGUGGGUGCGCUGGAGAGAUACUGUGGGGGGGGGGUGACUUUGCACCAAGGCCUUGGCUGAAGCUCGCUGUCAAGUUGGAAACUCUGUGCCUGAGAUGGAUGCCUUUGAGGGGAUCCACUGCGUGCAGCUCUCCCCCUCCCUCAAGCCCCCUCUUUCAUCUGGCCCUGGGUACGAGGUUGUGAUGACCGGAAGCUCAGGCAUAGCGGUGUACUCCUCCCCUACCUUCUUCGGCCAGCUGGAUGCUUCCGAGCAUCAAGCGGCGAAAGCUGAAGAAGAGGGCUGUGUGGUGGGAAGGCUGAUCGACCUGGAGCCGGAUACGGAUGCUGAGCCGGGGCCGAGCGGCGCGGGUCCCGGCCGGGCCGGACCGAUGGCGCUCGACGAGAGAGGUGCGGAUGCCAGAGAGCAUUACAGUUUCUCUCGCCUGCGCAGCUCCUCGCUGGAGAUCAAGGAGAAGGGCUCCGAGAUCUUGAGGGAACAGCUGGAUUCCGCCCAGAGGGAGCUGCAGCUGAAGGACAAGGAGUGCGAACGUCUGGCUCGGAUUCGGGAUCAGCUGGAGCAGGAGCUGGAGGAGCUAACCGCCAGCCUCUUCGAGGAGGCCCAUAAGAUGGUGCACGAGGCCAACGUCAAGCAGGCGGCAGCCGAGAAGCAGCUGAAGGAGGCUCAGGGCAAGAUCGAUGUGCUCCAGGCCGAGGUGGAGGCUCUGAAGACGCUCGUUCUGACCUCGACGCCCUCCUCCCCCAACCGCCAGCUGCACCCCCAGCUCCAGUCCCCAGGCUCCCGGGGAGGGAGUGCGCGCACGGGCCUGGGUCACAUCCGCAACAAAAGUGCCAGCGGCGCCUCGGUCGUCGGCGUCGGCGACUCGGACCCCUGUCCCGUUCCCGCCCGGCCUGCGGACAAGGAGGGCCGGGAGCUGGACUCGCUUCUCUACGCGGAGUUCUUGGCUUGGAGGGAGGAGCCGAGCCUGGACCGCACGUCGGCCUUCCUGAGCCGCGUCUACAGGGAGGACGUCGAGCCCUGCCUUUCCUUCACCUGCUCCGAGUUGUCCCAGUCAGUCCAGCUGGCUGUGGAGAACAACACCCUGACUAUCGAGCCGGUGGCCUCGACCGCGUUUGCCGCGGCAAGAAGUUCGGCCGCGGAGCGAAGCGGACCCAACGGCUGGAGGGCGACGGUCGACACGAAGUGCGCGCUGAGCGGCAUCUCCCUCCCCUGUCGGCAUCGAAUCAAACUGGGCGACAAAGGAAACUACUACUACGUCUCCCCCUCGAGCCGCACGCGGAUCGCGGCCGCGUGUAACUUCUUCACCUACGUUCGCUACAUCCAGCAGGGACUCAUCAGGCAAGAAGCCGAGCAGACCUUCUGGGAGCUGAUGCGCCUGCGGAGAGAGAUGGCCGUGGCCAGGCUGGGCUUCUACCCCGCCGACGAGGACUAGAGGACGGCGGUCGUGCUGCGGGACACGGGGGGGCGGGGGCGCGCCGGCGGUUGAAAAGGGCCGGAGAGCACGGACCAAUGUCGGGAAGAUGGGAGUCGACCGAUUCGCUCGACUGUCCAACCUAAACCCGGACAGGUUCGUACCCUGGCGCGCUCCAGUUGGCCAGGUUCUGGCCAUUGUCAACCUCAGCUGGCCACUCCCCGAUGUGGCGAAACCACAGGUAUAAGAGAGAAGUGCAGCUUUCACUCCAGACACAUCCACUGCAGUGAUCUGGGAGAAAAACCCUGCAUCCAUCUGUCUCCCCCCGUCACUCUCGAAGCUCGAAGACAUGAAGCUGCUGCUGGCUGGACUGCUUCUGGUUCUGGUUCUGGGAAUCCAGGCUCAUCCACCUAGAAAUGACCAUCAGCAUGGAGAGGACCAUGGGAAAAAUGUAGACGGGUCCGCCCAAGGUGCUGUCCACAGGGGCCAUGGAGGUGGAGGGAACCCUAGGGUUGUAAGGCAAGUCCAGAACUUGGUCCAGCAAGGCGGUAGACAUGGUCAUGUGCGUAAUGGUUCCACUCCAAGCCCAGGCCACAAUGGAAGGAACCCAAAUGGCAACCGGCCCAAUGGACCCCCCGGCAAACCCUGAACCCCAUCACGAGUGCAUGAUCAGCCUCCGAGCAUCUGAUACUGUUUGGUAGAGACCCGACACCUGUUUAGAGAACCUUGAUGCUUUCUUCAUGUUCAGUCCUUUACAUUCCGGUUAGAGAUUGCAAGUAAUUAAAAAAUGAUAAACAAAUGCAAUAUUUCUGAGCAACUUGUGUAAAUUUCUAAUAUGGUACCCAUGUAUAACAAUAUAUUAAGAAAUAAAUACUGCAUUUACUGUAGUAUAGAUAAACAAGUACCGUCACUACCCCAGACUACAUUUGCCCAAAAAGGAGUAUG